AAUGAAUAAAUGGCGAAAACCUUCAGUUGAUUAUGCAGCGACCAAACGUUGGAGUAAAACGUCUCGUCAGCUGCCUCUUGCCAGCACAAGACCGACUGAUAUUAUUGUAUUACUCGAGAUAGCAUUUCUGGUCGUCAUCGCUACAGCCAGUUCAGAUGGGAAAAAUUAUAUGCUACCAACCGGCGAACUUCUGGUGUAGACCAUCACUCGCACCGAUGCGCACAAAGUUUUUCGCUGCCACAUCCAUCACAAGCUGAUGCAGGACUCCGUUGUGAGCAGCAAUUUUGGGCAAAAUUCAAUUGACUGUUGGCAAAUGAUACGACCAAAAAGCAAGAUGUCAAUACAGCAUUUGCCGGCGACAGGUCGCUCAAAAAUCAAGGAAGGCACGCUAAUUAUAACCGCAGUCGAUCGAUCUGACAGAGCCUUCUUCUGCACUGCCUCCAACUCGGAAGGCAGCGAAACUUUGGAAGUACAAAUUGCUGUUAUAUCACCGCUCAUUGCCAGCAUUCAACCGAGCGUGCAAACAGUGAAUCUGCGAAAAAUCGCAAACUUGAUUUGCAGCAUUUAGGGCUUCCCACAGAGUGUUCCUUGGCUGAACGAUGGUCAGCCACUGCGGUACGGUGCACGCGUUCGUCUAUUCCCCACAGAGCACAUACGCACCAAGGAAGACAAGGAGAUGUAUCAGUAUAUUGUGAAAAAUGAUUU